rnacentral:rRNA from 1 species
AGUGAACGCUGGCGGUAGGCCUAACACAUGCAAGUCGAACGGCAGCACAGGAGAGCUUGCUCUCUGGGUGGCGAGUGGCGGACGGGUGAGGAAUACAUCGGAAUCUACUCUGUCGUGGGGGAUAACGUAGGGAAACUUACGCUAAUACCGCAUACGACCUACGGGUGAAAGCAGGGGACCUUCGGGCCUUGCGCGAUUGAAUGAGCCGAUGUCGGAUUAGCUAGUUGGCGGGGUAAAGGCCCACCAAGGCGACGAUCCGUAGCUGGCCUGAGAGGAUGAUCAGCCACACUAGAACUGAGACACGGUCCAGACUCCUACGGGAGGCAGCAGUGGGGAAUAUUGGACAGUGGGCGCAAGCCUGAUCCAGCCAUACCGCGUGGGUGAAGAAGGCCUUCGGGUUGUAAAGCCCUUUUGUUGGGAAAGAAAUCCAGCUGGCUAAUACCCGGUUGGGAUGACGGUACCCAAAGAAUAAGCACCGGCUAACUUCGUGCCAGCCGCCGCGGUAA